rnacentral:rRNA from 1 species
UAGGAGUGAGCGCGUCGGGUGCGGAGAAGGCGGCAAGUCCCCCUGACCGGGGCCUGUCCGUAGCGGGUGCGAGGCCCAUAGCCGCCUCUUCCGCCUCGAACGCGAUCUCCUGGGAGUCGGGUUGCUUGGGAGUGCAGCCCUAAUCGGGUGGUAAACUCCACCUAAGGCUAAAUACCGCCGUGAGACCGAUAGCAAACAAGUACCGUGAGGGAAAGUUGCAAAGAACUUUGAAGAGAGAGUUCAAGAGUACGUGAAACUGCUCAGAGGUAAACGGGUGGGCCCUCGAAAUCCUGUGGCGAGAGGAUUCAGUCUGGAUCGCGCGACGACCGGGCGGAAGAAUCCGAGCAGGGCUUCCGCGUCGCGCGGGCCGUCCGCUCGGUCGACUUUGCGCGACCCAGACGCAUUUGUCUCUCGUCCCGAGGACGCCGCAGCCGGUUCGGGAGUUGCAAGCGCGACGGCCUGGAGGCCGGGACGACGCAGGUGGCCGGUGGCCCGCUUAGGCGGGUCGUCGGUUGUUAGCGGUCCCGGCAGUGGCUCGUCCCCGGACCGAGGUGUCGCGAGUCCCUUUGCGGGAUUCGCCGUCUCCACCCCAGAGUCAGCCGGACAGGGCGCGGAAUGGAGCCCCGUCGUCGCCCGUCGCACUUCCACGGAGUGGGCGGGCGGGGCGGGGAGCCGCACGGCCGCGACGGACCGGCGGGGGACCGGAGGCUUGCGGCGAGUAGGUCGGUCACCCACCCGACCCGUCUUGAAACACGGACCA